ACUAAGCGUACACGGUGGAUGCCCUGGCAGUCAGAGGCGAUGAAGGACGUGCUAAUCUGCGAAAAGCGUCGGUAAGGUGAUAUGAACCGUUAUAACCGGCGAUGUCCGAAUGGGGAAACCCAGUGUGUUCCGACACACUAUCAUUAACUGAAUCCAUAGGUUAAUGAGGCGAACCGGGGGAACUGAAACAUCUAAGUACCCCGAGGAAAAGAAAUCAACCGAGAUUCCCCCAGUAGCGGCGAGCGAACGGGGAGGAGCCCAGAGCCUGAAUCAGUGUGUGUGUUAGUGGAAGCGUCUGGAAAGGCGCGCGAUACAGGGUGACAGCCCCGUACACAAAAAUGCACAUGCUGUGAGCUCGAUGAGUAGGGCGGGACACGUGGUAUCCUGUCUGAAUAUGGGGGGACCAUCCUCCAAGGCUAAAUACUCCUGACUGACCGAUAGUGAACCAGUACCGUGAGGGAAAGGCGAAAAGAACCCCGGCGAGGGGAGUGAAAAAGAACCUGAAACCGUGUACGUACAAGCAGUGGGAGCCCUGAUUUAUCAGGGUGACUGCGUACCUUUUGUAUAAUGGGUCAGCGACUUAUAUUCUGUAGCAAGGUUAACCGAAUAGGGGAGCCGGAGGGAAACCGAGUCUUAACUGGGCGUUAAGUUGCAGGGUAUAGACCCGAAACCCGGUGAUCUAGCCAUGGGCAGGUUGAAGGUUGGGUAACACUAACUGGAGGACCGAACCGACUAAUGUUGAAAAAUUAGCGGAUGACUUGUGGCUGGGGGUGAAAGGCCAAUCAAACCGGGAGAUAGCUGGUUCUCCCCGAAAGCUAUUUAGGUAGCGCCUCGUGAAUUCAUCUCCGGGGGUAGAGCACUGUUUCGGCAAGGGGGUCAUCCCGACUUACCAACCCGAUGCAAACUGCGAAUACCGGAGAAUGUUAUCACGGGAGACACACGGCGGGUGCUAACGUCCGUCGUGAAGAGGGAAACAACCCAGACCGCCAGCUAAGGUCCCAAAGUCAUGGUUAAGUGGGAAACGAUGUGGGAAGGCCCAGACAGCCAGGAUGUUGGCUUAGAAGCAGCCAUCAUUUAAAGAAAGCGUAAUAGCUCACUGGUCGAGUCGGCCUGCGCGGAAGAUGUAACGGGGCUAAACCAUGCACCGAAGCUGCGGCAGCGACGCUGAUGCGUUGUUGGGUAGGGGAGCGUUCUGUAAGCCUGUGAAGGUGUGCUGUGAGGCAUGCUGGAGGUAUCAGAAGUGCGAAUGCUGACAUAAGUAACGAUAAAGCGGGUGAAAAGCCCGCUCGCCGGAAGACCAAGGGUUCCUGUCCAACGUUAAUCGGGGCAGGGUGAGUCGACCCUAAGGCGAGGCCGAAAGGCGUAGUCGAUGGGAAACAGGUUAAUAUUCCUGUACUUGGUGUUACUGCGAAGGGGGACGGAGAAGGCUAUGUUGGCCGGGCGACGGUUGUCCCGGUUUAAGCGUGUAGGCUGAUUUUCCAGGCAAAUCCGGAGAAUCAAGGCUGAGGCGUGAUGACGAGGCACUACGGUGCUGAAGCAACAAAUGCCCUGCUUCCAGGAAAAGCCUCUAAGCAUCAGGUAACAUCAAAUCGUACCCCAAACCGACACAGGUGGUCAGGUAGAGAAUACCAAGGCGCUUGAGAGAACUCGGGUGAAGGAACUAGGCAAAAUGGUGCCGUAACUUCGGGAGAAGGCACGCUGAUAUGUAGGUGAAGCGACUUGCUCGUGGAGCUGAAAUCAGUCGAAGAUACCAGCUGGCUGCAACUGUUUAUUAAAAACACAGCACUGUGCAAACACGAAAGUGGACGUAUACGGUGUGACGCCUGCCCGGUGCCGGAAGGUUAAUUGAUGGGGUCAGCGCAAGCGAAGCUCUUGAUCGAAGCCCCGGUAAACGGCGGCCGUAACUAUAACGGUCCUAAGGUAGCGAAAUUCCUUGUCGGGUAAGUUCCGACCUGCACGAAUGGCGUAAUGAUGGCCAGGCUGUCUCCACCCGAGACUCAGUGAAAUUGAACUCGCUGUGAAGAUGCAGUGUACCCGCGGCAAGACGGAAAGACCCCGUGAACCUUUACUAUAGCUUGACACUGAACACUGGUCCUUGAUGUGUAGGAUAGGUGGGAGGCUUUGAAGUGUGGACGCCAGUCUGCAUGGAGCCGUCCUUGAAAUACCACCCUUUAAUGGCUGGUGUUCUAACGUUGGCCCGUAAUCCGGGUUGCGGACAGUGUCUGGUGGGUAGUUUGACUGGGGCGGUCUCCUCCUAAAGAGUAACGGAGGAGCACGAAGGUUGGCUAAUCCUGGUCGGACAUCAGGAGGUUAGUGCAAUGGCAUAAGCCAGCUUGACUGCGAGCGUGACGGCGCGAGCAGGUGCGAAAGCAGGUCAUAGUGAUCCGGUGGUUCUGAAUGGAAGGGCCAUCGCUCAACGGAUAAAAGGUACUCCGGGGAUAACAGGCUGAUACCGCCCAAGAGUUCAUAUCGACGGCGGUGUUUGGCACCUCGAUGUCGGCUCAUCACAUCCUGGGGCUGAAGUAGGUCCCAAGGGUAUGGCUGUUCGCCAUUUAAAGUGGUACGCGAGCUGGGUUUAGAACGUCGUGAGACAGUUCGGUCCCUAUCUGCCGUGGGCGCUGGAGAACUGAGGGGGCUGCUCCUAGUACGAGAGGACCGGAGUGGACGCAUCACUGGUGUUCGGGUUGUCAUGCCAAUGGCACUGCCCGGUAGCUAAAUGCGGAAGAGAUAAGUGCUGAAAGCAUCUAAGCACGAAACUUGCCCCGAGAUGAGUUCUCCCUGAGACUUUAAGUCUCCUGAAGGAACGUUGAAGACGACGACGUUGAUAGGCCGGGUGUGUAAGCGCAGCGAUGCGUUGAGCUAACCGGUACUAAUGAACCGUGAGGCUUAACC
rnacentral:rRNA from 1 species